UGAGUAACGCGUGGGUAACCUGCCCUUAAGUCUGGGAUACCAUUUGGAAACAGAUGCUAAUACCGGAUAAAAGCUACUUUAGCAUGAAAGAGGUUUAAAAGGCGGCGUAAGCUGUCGCUAAAGGAUGGACCUGCGAUGCAUUAGCUAGUUGGUAAGGUAACGGCUUACCAAGGCGAUGAUGCAUAGCCGAGUUGAGAGACUGAUCGGCCACAUUGGGACUGAGACACGGCCCAAACUCCUACGGGAGGCAGCAGAA
rnacentral:rRNA from 1 species